rnacentral:lncRNA from 1 species
CACGAACACCACAACAAAAAGAAAAUUAAAACAUGUUGCCUAAAGUCAAACAACAACCCGAAUUGUAGACGGUAAAAAACACUUAAACCCAUCAAUAAGAUAACAACAAAAGUCCUAGCACAACAAUGCAUCCAAGAGAACAGAACUGCUGCAGCCGAGAGAUCCAACCAAACCAGAAAAUCAGCUCCCAACACCCCAAAAACAACCAGUGCAAACUGUUCACCCACCUACACAUCGAAAACAGAACAACAACAGGGUAAUAAAACACUACAACAACUCCUCACCUCCAAUACUGCCACUGGUAUUAGCAACCACAACCAAAUAACCACUGUUGUCAAAGUUGAGAGACAACAGUCACAACUACUCAUAGUGACCACACCUCGUUUGACACAACCUGAUGCACAACAAUCUACCUGACGAACCAACUUUCCGAGAAUUCCAAC